rnacentral:rRNA from 1 species
GACGAACGCUGGCGGCGUGCCUAACACAUGCAAGUCGAGCGGGGAUUUAAGUGGAAGUUCUUCGGAAUGGAGAUUUAAAUUCUAGCGGCGGACGGGUGAGUAACGCGUGAACAAUCUGUCCCGGACAGGGGGAUAACACUUGGAAACAGGUGCUAAUACCGCAUAAGACCACGGCCUCGCAUGGGGCUGAGGUAAAAGGAGCAAUCCGGUUCGGGGUGAGUUCGCGUCCGAUUAGCUAGUUGGUGAGGUAACGGCCCACCAAGGCGAUGAUCGGUAGCCGGCCUGAGAGGGUGAACGGCCACAUUGGAACUGAGAGACGGUCCAAACUCCUACGGGAGGCAGCAGUGGGGAAUAUUGGGCAAUGGGCGAAAGCCUGACCCAGCAACGCCGCGUGAGGGAAGAAGGUUUUCGGAUUGUAAACCUCUGUCCUAUGGGACGAAGGAAGUGACGGUACCAUAGGAGGAAGCCCCGGCUAACUACGUG